UACAGAGGGUGCGAGCGUUUAAUCGGAAUUACUGGGCGUAAAGCGAGCGUAGUCGGUUAUUUAAGUCGGGUGUGAAAUCCCCGGGCUCAACCUGGGAAUUGCAUUCGAUACUGGAUAGCUAGAGUUCGGCAGAGGGAAGCGGAAUUUCCGGUGUAGCGGUGAAAUGCGUAGAUAUCGGAAGGAACAUCAGUGGCGAAAGCGGCUUCCUGGACCAGAACUGACGAUCAGGCUCGAAAGCGUGGGGAGCAAACAGG
rnacentral:rRNA from 1 species